AUUGAGUUAUGAUUUCAAUUUAUCAUUAUUAUUUAGUGAGUUCUUGGUUGAUUUUGAAUUUGAAUAUCAAUGAUUGGGAUUGAAUUUGAGUAGUGAUGCAUUUGAUAUUACUCUUUUAUCUCUUUUUCUCUUUUUGUUGCAAUGCUUAAGUUUUAGCCAAGUUUUAGGUUUCAAGACUUUAUAUUUACAUGAUUCCACUUAUAGACCAAUGUAGUUUAGUUGGACUCAAUUAGAUUGAAACAUUUUCUAUUUCAUAGGCUGAUGUAGUCCACUUAUUUCUGAUCAUUUACAGUUCAAGAAAGAGGAAGAGAAAUAAGAAGCAAAAGGGAUGUAGGAUUGGCUGUUUUGAAAGUAAUAAUAGAAAAGAGUGAGAUCCCAUUUGAAAGAGGGCUUUAACGCACUCAAAGACAAAUAUAAAUGUAAGGUUUCUAUUCCUUUUUCCAUCUAAGAUUAAUGCAUAAGAAAGUAUUCAUGAAUUCAUUCUAGGGAGAGUAACAUAGUGGAGGACAAUAGGUUAUAGCUGAGAUGAAUUAUGUUUACAAAAGAAUCAGAAUUUGUUUUUCUCUCUUUAUGUCUCUAAUAAACUUGUUUUUUAUUCUAUGAUAAUUGCUGAUGUGAGGAAAAGGUUUGAUGCUUGGAGUUGAACUUGUCACUGGCUGUGAACUUAAAAUGCCAGCCAAAGAUGAAACACCACAGGUGAUGGACCAAAUAAAAGGUUAUGGAAUUGUAUUCAGAAAUCAGCUCCCUUAUGUUUUACCAAAGAUGUUUCCUAAUGGAUGCUAUGGAGUGCACAUUAUCUAGAAUUUAACCUGUGAAGCUUAAAUAAGAUGCAAGUGUAAAUAAAUGACAACUUAUUUUAUGAUAAGUUAAACUCUAUUAGAAUAUUAUGUAUUGACUCAAGCAAGUAAAGUUUAUAAAUUUUAAAUGCUUGCUUAGACCAAUAUAGUUUAAAAUUGCUAUUGUG